rnacentral:lncRNA from 1 species
GGCCAUGGAAAGGAAGAAGAAGUUGGCUGAGAAAGCUGCUGCAAAAGCAGCCAAAAGAGCCGAAAAGGAAGCUGAAAAGAAGCUUAAGGAAAUUACUUCUUCUUCGUCUUUCGCUGAUUUCGUUGUGCCGACUCUGCUUACUAACAUUGUCAUACUAAACCUCUUUGCUUCUCUUGGUCACACUUUCAGGAGCGCGAAAAGAAACAGAAGAAAAAGGCUGGAGCGUCAGCACCAACUAACGAGGAUGAGAAAGAAGCUGAGGAAGUUGUCGAGGCAGCAGAACAGGAAACUGAAGAAACAAAGGAGGUAGCAGCACCUGUAGCUGCUAAACAAAAGGCUAAGAGGGAGAAUACUGUUCGAUACAGGAACCGAGUCAGGGUCCCCGAAGGUCCUCCCAGGGCUCUCCUGAAGAAGAAGAAGUCAAUGAACUACUUGCUGUGGGCUGUUCCUGCUGGCAUCGUAGCUGUUCUCCUGGUUGUGCUUGCGUACCUGUAUCUCCUUUGAAGAAGAAGCAAAGGAGCAGCAGUAAUGGUGACAGAUCCAGAGUGUUGAGUAAGCAGAGCGCAAUGGAUGCAGAUUCAGUUGCUGCAUCUCGAGGUU